UACGUAGGGUGCAAGCGUUGUCCGGAAUUAUUGGGCGUAAAGAGCUCGUAGGCGGUCUGUCGCGUCUGCUGUGAAAACUCGGGGCUUAACCCCGAGCCUGCAGUGGAUACGGGCAGACUAGAGGUAGGUAGGGGAGAAUGGAAUUCCCGGUGUAGCGGUGAAAUGCGCAGAUAUCGGGAGGAACACCGGUGGCGAAGGCGGUUCUCUGGGCAUUACCUGACGCUGAGGAGCGAAAGCAUGGGGAGC
rnacentral:rRNA from 1 species